AGAGUUUGAUCCUGGCUCAGGAUGAACGCUGGCGGCGUGCUUAACACAUGCAAGUCGAGCGAAGCACUUUUUAGAACUCUUCGGAGGGAAGAGAGGGUGACUUAGCGGCGGACGGGUGAGUAACGCGUGGGCAACCUGCCUUACACAGGGGGAUAACAAUUAGAAAUGAUUGCUAAUACCGCAUAAGACCACGGUACUGCAUGGUACAGUGGUAAAAACUGAGGUGGUGUAAGAUGGGCCCGCGUCUGAUUAGGUAGUUGGUGGGGUAGAAGCCUACCAAGCCGACGAUCAGUAGCCGACCUGAGAGGGCGACCGGCCACAUUGGGACUGAGACACGGCCCAAACUCCUACGGGAGGCAGCAGUGGGGAAUAUUGCACAAUGGGGGAAACCCUGAUGCAGCGACGCCGCGUGAGUGAGGAAGUAUUUCGGUAUGUAAAGCUCUAUCAGCAGGGAAGAAAAUGACGGUACCUGACUAAGAAGCCCCGGCUAACUACGUG
rnacentral:rRNA from 1 species